UUCCGGUUGAUCCUGCCAGACCUGACUGCUAUCGGAUUGAUACUAAGCCAUGCGAGUCGUUGUAGCAAUACAAGGCAUACGGCUCAGUAACGCGUAGUCAACCUAACCUAUGGACGGGAAUAACCUCGGGAAACUGAGAAUAAUGCCCGAUAGAACAUUAUGCCUGGAAUGGUUUAUGUUCCAAAUGAUUUAUCGCCAUAGGAUGGGACUGCGGCCUAUCAGUUUGUUGGUGAGGUAAUGGCCCACCAAGACUAUUACAGGUACGGGCUCUGAGAGGAGUAGCCCGGAGAUGGGUACUGAGACACGGACCCAGGCCCUAUGGGGCGCAGCAGGCGAGAAAACUUUGCAAUGUGCGAAAGCACGACAAGGUUAAUCCGAGUGAUUUCUGCUAAAGAGAUCUUUUGUUAGUCCUAGAAACACUAACGAAUAAGGGGUGGGCAAGUUCUGGUGUCAGCCGCCGCGGUAAAACCAGCACCUCAAGUGGUCAGGAUGAUUAUUGGGCCUAAAGCAUCCGUAGCCGGCUCUGUAAGUUUUCGGUUAAAUCUGUACGCUCAACGUACAGGCUGCCGGGAAUACUGCAGAACUAGGGAGUGGGAGAGGUAGACGGUACUCGGUAGGAAGUGGUAAAAUGCUUUGAUCUAUCGAUGACCACCUGUGGCGAAGGCGGUCUACCAGAACACGUCCGACGGUGAGGGAUGAAAGCUGGGGGAGCAAACCGGAUUAGAUACCCGGGUAGUCCCAGCUGUAAACUAUGCAAACUCAGUGAUGCAUUGGCUUGUGGCCAAUGCAGUGCUGCAGGGAAGCCGUUAAGUUUGCCGCCUGGGAAGUACGUACGCAAGUAUGAAACUUAAAGGAAUUGGCGGGGGAGCACCACAAGGGGUGAAGCCUGCGGUUCAA
rnacentral:rRNA from 1 species